GGCCACCAGAAGACAGCCUUAGUUUCCC
rnacentral:piRNA from 1 species